rnacentral:rRNA from 1 species
AUUGAACGCUGGCGGCAUGCCUUACACAUGCAAGUCGAACAGUAACAGGUCUUCGGAUGCUGACGAGUGGCGAACGGGUGAGUAAUACAUCGGAACGUGCCUAGUAGUGGGGGAUAACUACUCGAAAGAGUGGCUAAUACCGCAUGAGAUCUACGGAUGAAAGCAGGGGAUCGCAAGACCUUGUGCUACUAGAGCGGCCGAUGGCAGAUUAGGUAGUUGGUGGGAUAAAAGCUUACCAAGCCGACGAUCUGUAGCUGGUCUGAGAGGACGAUCAGCCACACUGGGACUGAGACACGGCCCAGACUCCUACGGGAGGAAGCAGUGGGGAAUUUUGGACAAUGGGCGAAAGCCUGAUCCAGCAAUGCCGCGUGCAGGAUGAAGGCCUUCGGGUUGUAAACUGCUUUUGUACGGAACGAAAAGCCCCGGGUUAAUACCCUGGGGUCAUGACGGUACCGUAAGAAUAAGCACCGGCUAACUACGUGCCAGCAGCCGCGGUAA